rnacentral:rRNA from 1 species
AUAGCGUAUAUUAAAGUUGUUGCAGUUAAAAAGCUCGUAGUUGAAUUUUGGACCUGGCUGGGUGGUCUUUCCGCAAGGUUAGCACUGCUCUGGUCGGGUCUUUCCUUCUGGGGAACCUGUGUGCUCUUAAUUGAGUGCGCAGGGGAGCCAGGACUUUUACUUUGAAAAAAUUAGAGUGUUUAAAGCAGGCUUACGCCUGAAUACAUUAGCAUGGAAUAAUAGAAUAGGACUUUGGUUCUAUUUUGUUGGUUUCUAGGACCGAAGUAAUGAUUAAUAGGGAUAGUUGGGGGCAUUAGUAUUUAAUUGUCAGAGGUGAAAUUCUUGGAUUUAUGAAAGACUAACUUCUG